GACGAACGCUGGCGGUGUGCCUCAUACAUGCAAGUCGAACGAUAAGGUUCCUUCGGGAAUACAUAAGUGGCGGACGGGUGAGUACAAUGUAGGAAAUCUGCCUUAGGGUGGGGGACAACAGAGGGAAACUCCUGCUAAUACUCUAUACUCCUGCUUAACACAAGUUGAGUAGGGAAAGUUUUUCGGUGUAGGAUGAGACUAUAUAGUAUCAGCUAGUUGGUAAGGUAAUGGCUUACCAAGGCUAUGACGCUUAACUGGUCUGAGAGGAUGAUCAGUCACACUGGAACUGAGACACGGUCCAG
rnacentral:rRNA from 1 species